GACGAACCGGCCAAACGUUAAUCGGAAUUAUUGGGCUUAAAGGGUGCGUAGGCGGUGCGGUAAGUGAGGUGUGAAAUCCCUCGGCUCAACCGAGGAAUUGCGCCUCAUACUGCCGUGCUAGAGGGAGACAGAGGUAAGCGGAACUGAUGGUGGAGCGGUGAAAUGCGUUGAUAUCAUCAGGAACACCAGUGGCGAAGGCGGCUUACUGGGUCUCUUCUGACGCUGAGGCACGAAAGCUAGGGUAGCGAACGGG
rnacentral:misc_RNA from 1 species